rnacentral:rRNA from 1 species
GAACGCGAAAGCUCCUUCGGGGGUAAGUAGAGUGGCGUCCGGGUGAGUAACACGUGGGUAAUCUGCCUUCGGGUGGGGAAUAACCCAGGGAAACUUGGGCUAAUACCGCAUAAUGCAGCGGCACCUAAUGGUGAUUAGUUGUUAAAGCGGGGGAUCGCAAGACCUCGCGCCUGAAGAGGAGCCUGCGGCAGAUUAGCUAGUUGGUAAGGUAAUGGCUUACCAAGGCUUCGAUCUGUAGCUGGUCUGAGAGGACGGCCAGCCACACUGGCACUGACACACGGGCCAGACUCCUACGGGAGGCAGCAGUGGGGAAUUUUGGGCAAUGGGCGCAAGCCUGACCCAGCAACGCCGCGUGAGGGAGGAAAUCCUUCGGGAUGUAAACCUCACAAGCAAGGGAAGAGAGUCAUGGGCUGAAUAAUCCCAUGGUGCGACGGUACCUUGCGUAAGCCACGGCUAACUACGUGCCAGCAGCCGCGGUAAUACGUAGGUGGCAAGCGUUGUUCGGAAUUAUUGGGCGUAAAGGGCGCGUAGGCGGCGUGUUAAGUCGGCUGUGAAAGCCCGGGGCUCAACCCCGGAGGGUCAGCCGAUACUGGCAUGCUAGAGUACGGAAGAGGUAGCUGGAAUUCCCGGUGUAGCGGUGAAAUGCGUAGAUAACGGGAGGAACACCUGAGGCGAAGGCGGGCUACUGGGCCGAUACUGACGCUGAUGUGCGAAAGCCAGGGGAGCGAACGGGAUUAGAUACCCCGGUAGUCCUGGCCCUAAACGAUGGACACUUGGUGUGUCGGGUAUUCCAGUCCCGAUGUGCCGGAGCUAAC